AAGACAUAUUUCUUCUUUUAAUCUUUUUGCUGUUAACGUGCAGAAGUUCGGCGUUUCGUGUAUGUAGGUUGCAUGGCAGAAGAGAUAAGCACCAGCAGAUAAAGUCCAAAACGUCAGUGCAGAUGGGGUUCAACCUGUUCUCCCUUUGGGGGGGACUUAUCAAGAACUGGGAGGAGUAGAGAAGGCAGCUGGCUUUCCAGAUAACAUACUUAACCUUAUAGGACCUUUCAAAAAAUAUAGCAAGUAUACUGAGGUGCUGUUUGCUGCAUUUCUAGUACUCUUUUAACAUAACAACCGCAGAAAGGGGAAAAUAAGAUGGAUAUAACACCAGUGACUGGCAGUGCAUUCUAUAUAGGACUGUUGCAGAAAUGAAGAGGUUACAAGGGUCCAGCUGUAGCUGGGCUCUGUACAUCCAGGAAUUCUUCACUUGGACAGCCGGUCAUAAUGGUGUCUUCAUAUCUUUCCCACUGCAGAAACUGCUCUAUUUCCUGUGACAAUAAUCUCCUGGAACAGGCCAGGAAAAGACAAACCUCAAAAAGGGGAAAUCCUGGAAAUCCUCCCCUACCCUUUCCCUGGAAAUGGGGAGAGGGAUCUGCAGGAAAAAAAACACUCCUGCCAAGAAUGAUUUGGCACAGGCGAUGACGAAGCGAUCUAUGGUGAGCCUAUGGAGAGCUGACAUCUAGGAAAGUCUCCCUGGCCAUCUGAAGCCUUCUGCUCUUUCUGGUACAUCCCUGCAACACUGAGCGUAAGAAGGCUAUGAUCAUCACAGAGGAACUCUCUUCCCUGAAUAAGGACUCAAGACACUCAGUCUUCAAAGUGCAAAAGAAAUUAACUGCGACUUGGAUUUCUCUUUGCCACCUUAGACACCAAAAUGCAACAUUUCACUCUACCUUAUUUUAGAGUCAUCCAAAUCCACAGUCACUUACAUGCUCAUUAGCAAAGUUCCCUAGGUACAUAAAGUUUUACCUUUGAGCACAUCCAGAAAUGCCUCAAUUUCAACAAUAUCUAAUUCUCAGGAACCCAUUCAUGCAUAACACCUUUGAGCUUUGCUAAUGAGAUCCUCUCCAUCUCCCUUGCCCAGCUGAUUUUCAGAGCACAUCUAUUAGAUAAGGCCCGGCACAAAAUAGUGGUGGUUGUUGCAGCGCCUCACACCUCUAAUGACCUUCAACAACUUGAGCCUUCAGAGAAGGAAGAGCAAAGCCCAGACUCAUUUAAUUUCUUUGUCUAUGAGGAUUUGAAUCCACAACUCUAAUUUUCUAAGAGAGUACCUAAUAACAGGCUGGAGCAGAGGUCUCUUAACUUCCACUAUUCAGGGAAUAAUUAAGUAUUCAUUAGGUCAGAGGCAGGAAAGAGGAACAAGAUGCGAUUAACUCUAAGUGGCUAAGGCUUUCAGGUAGAAGAAAAAAGGCCUAGGUUUCCUGCUGAACAGGAGUACUUCUUUUCAAAUAUUUAAAUGUUGGAUUAGAGGAAAGAGGAACGUGAGAUCUCCCUUCUCCCAGAUGAGAAUCAUAAGUAAGCACUGAACUAUAGUGACAUGCUGACUCUUUUUUUUUCUUUUUUUUUUUUUCCUAGGGCUCAAUGAGUAUUUAAUGAGCCCAUGAGAAGGGAAACAGCUUCUACAAGAGAAACUGAGAACAGCUUUCUCUUUUUCAUACCAGAUUAUCUUCUGGUCCACUGAUUUGGGAUCUCUUAUGGAAAAUGUAGGUUCAAAUGCCCUAUACCACAGGAAUGAAUUGAAUCAAGUUGUCUCUUUUUGCAUAAAUACUCAGCUAUGUCCACUUAUGGCAAGAACCACUGCUAAGGCUGUGAGGAGGACUGGCAGAGGGGCCUAACAUCAAGGAGAGGUUGGGCAGUUUGAAAUCUCUAUGGGCACAGGGGAAUCUUCUCAUCAGUUUCUGAUGGCUAAUGUUGGGCCACCCGAUCAGCCUGCUUUUGGGAAAUCAUACGCCUAGAGCCUGCCUCUUCCUGUGCAUUGCAUGGGAAGCCUAAGCGUGUAACACAGGGCUGAGGUACUCCAAAAGUUGGAUUCUUUAAUAACCAGUUAAAAUUUCUUUGUGAGCCUAGCUCUGGAUUUCACAUGUUCAGUCUCUACUGUAGAAGGCUGUAUUUCAGGAAGGAAAACCAAAAGAAUUGUUGCUAUUUUAUAUUGUUGCUAAAAUGCAGAGGUUUCUGGACAUCUUCCAGAGGUGAGUGUUAGUUUAGUGGGUCAGUUGCCAAGAAAACUCUGCUUCUUGCACAUGCAGGCUUUGCUCUUGAAAUAAUGACACCAUGAAUCACAAUGGAUGUCGCUGUCAUGAGAGAUUAUGCUUAGACUUACUUUUCCCUUCAGGUAACUUGAUUCCAGGGAGCUAAAAUCUUGAAUGUGAGCUCAUGCAUAUAGUUAAAGAUUUAAGUACCAGCUAAGCUCUGGAGUGAGCUCUCUCACUAAACAGUAUUUCCAACUGAAUGGGCUAUAUAGUCUGAGGCAAAGAAUAGACAAUAAAAAUCCGUGGUUUCAGAGUUAGGUUUAAAGAUUUUUCUCAACAGGCCCAAAACUUACAAAAAUGGAUAAGUCAACAUCGGAGAGAAGUGUCUACAGUCAUAUCCAUCAAAGGAAGACUUUCUUAGCCAUAACUCUUUGGGUAUUCAAGCAAGGAGCUAGGCAUUUUCAAUGUUUAAAUAGCUUUCCAGAGGAAGAGGAGACAAAUGGGUCCUUGUCAAAAUGAAGUAAAUGUUGGAAGCAAAAUGUCUGUUAGAGAAAAAACUGUCUUUCUUUUAGAAAAUGAGCUUGAGCAAAGAUUUUCAACUAUUUGAAACUAUGUGAAACUGAGUGAUUCAGUUCAGUAUGAAAAUUUUGUAUCAAAGAGAAAAAUAUUAAUUUUAAUUGCUAUUCCAUCAUGCCAUUUCUGACUCUUCUCAGAGUUUGAGAAAUAGUCAGCGUCAACAGAGUGAAUCAUUCAUGCUGCUUAUAGCCCUGUUUGGCAAACUGCAAACAGCUAUCUCCUGGGACUCCAUUCCCGUCUGUACAUUUAUCCCUACCGGAGGCCUUAGCUAAAAUAAGGAAACCACAUUUGCAAUGUGCAUUUAUUCUGCUUUCUGACAAAAUAAGAGUAGAUGAAUAUAAAAAGUCUUCUGGGGAUGGGAUGUGGGACAUUUUGGACAAUGAGGGUAUCUGAGAAGAAUCUUUUAAGAUAUUGGAAGGGUGUUCAAGAAUGUGGGGUAGAAGUGUGGUCAGCAGAGGAAUUUAUGUGGAAACUUGCUGUAGUCCUUGCAGCAAACACAUAAGGCUUUCUAUAUUUGGAAUCAAAGGUAAAGUCAACAGCUAAUCCAGACUAGCAGAGUUUGUUCCUCACUUCUAAUUCGAGCAAUUUACGCACUUUUCACAUACAAUCCAGCUUUCAUUUUCCGCUCCACAGUUUUUUGCAGAACCACUAUCCUUUCAUUGCUUCUUUAAGGCUAUUGAAUCUAUCCCGGGACUAGAAAUCGACUCUGUAGGAAUAUUACGGCAUGAAACGCACAAUGUGUUUCUAUGUUACUAUGUGAAGUAACUGUAGUGGAAAAACUGUCGUAUUUUCUAAGAGACUGAGCAGUGUACAGUUAAAUCUGGAGAGAAUCUGAAUGCAUGUACUCUCCAUUGAUGUACUCUCCAUUGAUGUCAGCUCUCAGGACAUAGUCCUAUGAAUUGAAAGCUGUUUGAAGAAGUGUUGUAGAGCAGCAGUGAGCUGGUAGAUUUAAAAUAGAUGGAUUAAGAAUUUAAUGAUAUAUGGGAGCAUGUUACCUGAAAGGAUGACAUUUUUAAUGUGUCCUGUUACGUUGCUAUGUGUUCAGAGCUACUCUACAAAGUGUAUUGGGUGUUUCUGCAGUGUUUUAAUCCAAAAGUUCUGCCUCAUGCAUCCUAAGAAACAGAGUUGUUUUAAUUGUUCUGAUAGGUAAUUUUGAGCUACUACUUCCCUUUAAAAGCCCUAAUAAAAAGCUAGUGAAAGCACAUCUCUAGUCACUCUUCUGGGACUAUCUGAGACUACCUGAACUGGAGAGAUGGAAUGACAUUAAUCCUGUUGCUUCUGAUGCUGUCUCAAUGAAUCAGUCUGUUCUGUCCUUGACCGGUGCCUUUCCCCAUGUUAUCGCCUAUAACAGAACGCACUGGACUUUGACUGCCAACUCUAUCUAAAAGUAUCUGAAAUUUCUGUUAUCUGGAUUCAGUUUAUUUUCUAAGGGGAAGUCACUUUGAAAUGUUCUAAAUGUCCUUGAUUCCCUCAAAUAUGCAUUUGCUUCCCCAGCUUCACUUAUUCAGUGAUUACUGA